rnacentral:lncRNA from 1 species
CCCAUGUUGGAUAGUGACCGCGGAAAGUCCAAUUAUCAGUGGCCGACACCACCCACUGAAUUUCUUCUGGCUGAAAUUUUUGAUUGUUUCACUGCCAAAACCAGGUUGGCUGUUUAUUCUGGAUGCCAAUGGCUAUUAUUAAUCAUGUUGAUAAACAAGGCUCCCCAAAUCAUCUCAAUACCAGGAACAAUUCACUUCAAACGAUAGCAGCAACAAUGACACUAACAACAAAAUCCACAAGUCAGUCCCAUGGUGUCCACUCUCACCCAGGGGAGCCUGGUGAGGAGUUGAUGAGUAUUUUUGGAUAUAGACAACUUGUGCCUGGCCCAGACCCUCUGAUUUCUUCAGUAGCGCUUUCCAGAGAGUUCAAAUUAUUUCCUAAUUUGUUCCAGAUACACCAUGUUUUGUGGCUUCAUUUGGGCAUUGAGGUCAUCACGAGAUGAUGGAGUUGGGCAAAGGAGAAAGUAGAGAGAGGAAAGAAAUGCCUCUUUCCUUCCUUCGUUCGCUCAGUUGUUCCUUCACUCACUCGUUGCUGAGUGUCUGCGCGUCCUAGGGGCUGGGGAUUGAACGUUGAGGGAAGCAGAAGUUCCACCGUGCUGACCAUCGAGCACGCCAGAUCCUCAGUCAGUGCGUCUUUUCAAGGGUCUCCUUGCCUGGUGCUAAAUUUUGGGUGAUGGUGGCAGAAAAAGAAAUAUCCAAUGAAAGGAAUGAUUCAUGGGGGGCUCCAGCCAUGGUGACAGGCGGUAGGAGAGACAACCUGGUCAAAACACAUCAACUGAGGAGGCUGCCUUGCCCAGAGAAAGGAUCCUGCAGUGGCUUUAAGCCACAAUUUCUUUGGCCUCUGCCCAGCCACCGUGAGAAUCAGCCCAGGUGAGUCUGCUAGAGGACGAGAGACCUCGCGGAGGAGAGCCCAGUCAGGUCAGCCAAGGCCAUCCCAGAUUCUCCCAUGGCCAGUGGAUCCCAUAUAUGUGAGAGAGCUCAGCCCAGCUCAGAAAGCAAAGCCACCUCUCUGACUCUGGCUGCACUCAGACAUGUAAGUGAGCCCUGCUGAGGCCAGAAGAACCACCAGCUGACCUGUAGACAGUGAGCAGAAUAAUUGCUUACUGUCGUAAUUGUUUAUUGCUUUGGGUAGUUUGUUAGGCAGCAAUAGCUAACUGAUGUAGCGUGUGUGAGUGAUGAUAAUGAUAUAAGAAUAAUAAAAUUGUAGUCACUGUAAGGGCUACCAUUUACCAUGUUUCAGGUACUG